rnacentral:rRNA from 1 species
GAUGAACGCUGGCGGCGUGCCUAAUACAUGCAAGUCGAGCGAACAGACGAGGAGCUUGCUCCUCUGACGUUAGCGGCGGACGGGUGAGUAACACGUGGAUAACCUACCUAUAAGACUGGGAUAACUUCGGGAAACCGGAGCUCAUACCGGAUAAUAUAUUGAACCGCAUGGUUCUAUAGUGAAAGACGGUUUUGCUGUCACUUAUAGAUGGAUCCGCGCCGCAUUAGCUAGUUGGUAAGGUAACGGCUUACCAAGGCGACGAUGCGUAGCCGACCUGAGAGGGUGAUCGGCCACACUGGAACUGAGACACGGUCCAGACUCCUACGGGAGGCAGCAGUAGGGAAUCUUCCGCAAUGGGCGAAAGCCUGACGGAGCAACGCCGCGUGAGUGAUGAAGGUCUUCGGAUCGUAAAACUCUGUUAUUAGGGAAGAACAAAUGUGUAAGUAACUAUGCACGUCUUGACGGUACCUAAACAGAAAGCCACGGCUAACUACGUG